rnacentral:rRNA from 1 species
UUGAACGCUGGCGGCAGGCCUAACACAUGCAAGUCGAGCGGUAGAGAGAAGCUUGCUUCUCUUGAGAGCGGCGGACGGGUGAGUAAUGCCUAGGAAUCUGCCUGGUAGUGGUGGAUAACGUUCGGAAACGGACGCUAAUACCGCAUACGUCCUACGGGAGAAAGCAGGGGACCUUCGGGCCUUGCCCUAUCAGAUGGGCCUAGGUCGGAUUAGCUAGUUGGUGAGGUAAUGGCUCACCAAGGCGACGAUCCGUAACUGGUCUGAGAGGAUGAUCAGUCACACUGGAACUGAGACACGGUCCAGACUCCUACGGGAGGCAGCAGUGGGGAAUAUUGGACAAUGGGCGAAAGCCUGAUCCAGCCAUGCCGCGUGUGUGAAGAAGGUCUUCGGAUUGUAAAGCACUUUAAGUUGGGAGGAAGGGCCAUUACCUAAUACGUGAUGGUUUUGACGUUACCGACAGAAUAAGCACCGGCUAACUCUGU